rnacentral:rRNA from 1 species
AACGUAGGAGGCAAGCGUUAUCCGGAUUUACUGGGCGUAAAGGGCGUGCAGGUGGUUUUCUAAGUGGUGCGUGAAAGCGCUCGGCUCAACCGGGCGAGGGCGUGCCAAACUGGGGGACUAGAAACAGGCAGAGGAAAGUGGAAUUCGGGGUGUAGUGGUGAAAUGCGUAGAGAUCCCGAGGAACUCCUGUGGCGAAGGCGACUUUCUGGGCCUGAUUUGACACUCAGACGCGAAAGCAUGGGGAGCGAACGGG